rnacentral:rRNA from 1 species
AUGAACGCUAGCGGGAGGCCUAACACAUGCAAGCCGAGCGGUAGAGAUCUUUCGGGAUCUUGAGAGCGGCGUACGGGUGCGGAACACGUGUGCAACCUGCCUUUAUCUGGGAGAUAGCCUUUCGAAAGGAAGAUUAAUACCCCAUAAUAUAUAGAGUGGCAUCACUUUGUAUUGAAAGCUCCGGCGGAUAGAGAUGGGCACGCGCAAGAUUAGAUAGUUGGUGAGGUAACGGCUCACCAAGUCAGUGAUCUUUAGGGGGCCUGAGAGGGUGAUCCCCCACACUGGUACUGAGACACGGACCAGACUCCUACGGGAGGCAGCAGUGAGGAAUAUUGGACAAUGGGUGAAAGCCUGAUCCAGCCAUCCCGCGUGAAGGACGACGGCCCUAUGGGUUGUAAACUUCUUUUGUAUAGGGAUAAACCUACCCUCGUGAGGGUAGCUGAAGGUACUAUACGAAUAAGCACCGGCUAACUCCGUGCCAGCCGCCGCGGUAA